rnacentral:lncRNA from 1 species
GGAAUCUACAUCAUCGGCUCUGCAGGUUCUCAGGCCUUCGGACUGGGACUACAUUACACCACUGGCUUUCCUGGGUCUCCAGCUUGCAGAUGAAGAUUGCAGGACUUCUCAGCCUCCAAAAUCAAACAUCCCCAUGACCCUAGGGGUAAGAAAGGAGACAUCCAGCCUCUAGCGGUGCACACAGUGCAAACCAGCAGAGUGGACUGAUCAGCUCUGGAAUUCUUUUUGCCAUUCUUUCUCCAGAGUAAGGAAUGCCAACUGCAGUUCAGAAAGAGAAUCUUCUCAUAUGAAGAGCUUCCAAACUUUAUAAAGAUACUCAGAAAUUCAAGCUCCAUCCAAUUAUUUGUGCUGGGAAGGCUUGUUUGUUCUGUGGCUACUGGAAAGUUCCACAUAAACUGAAUUCAAGCUAUGCAGGUGCUCACAGCUUUUAGAGAAGAAUGCCAUCACAUACACCUGGACACCAAUCAUCCCAGCACACUUCCUGUGAUGCCCAAGCACUGCUGACCAAAUCAGUCAGACAUCUUCUCUGCUUCACAUGGCAGCAGGGGCUGAAAGAAACUCUGCAAGUCCAAUUUGUAGUUUUAAAGAAAACUAAAUUUAUGAAAAUGAUCUCUAGGGGAAGUUGCACAGUGGAGUGGAAAGAACACAAUCUUUAGAAACAGACUUGAAUUUGAAUCUCAGUUCCAGGAUUUACUAGCUAUGAAAGCCUGGGCAAGUUGCUUAACCUCUCAGCCCAUUUAAUCCUGCAUAAGGAAUCAAUAAUAACAUGCAAUCUACAAAGUAGCUUCGAGGACUGAAUUGCACACUGCUGGCAAGUGCCAGCACAGACCGGGGGCUCUUUUCACCCUCUUUCACCACUCUGCACAGAUGCUUUCUGGAGAAGAAAAUUCUAUGACCUACUUCCAAAAUCUGCUCUAACUCCUUCAAGUUAAGAAUUCUUUGUUGAAUUUAAAUACAUUUUCCAGCCAUUUAAAUAGUCUUCGUGGUGUUCUGUUCUCAAAGAAAAUUAAAAUGUGUCCCAAACGUAUCUGUGCAUGUGUGUGACUACAAAAUCCUCCAUGUCUUAGAGACUUCAAAGCUAAACAGUAAUGACCUUGGGAUUCAGGUAGGAUCUAGAA